rnacentral:tRNA from 1 species
GCCUAAGUGGUCGAGUUGGUUAAGACAUCUGUACCGGAAAUUCGGAAGGUUCCAGGUUCGAACCCUGGUUGAGAUG